rnacentral:misc_RNA from 1 species
GUAUUUUGAAUUAUUUUAUUCAUAAUAUUUUUCAGACAAAGAGUUAAAGAAUAAGUUGAUGUUUGGUCGCUCUCAAAAAAGAGAACGACUGACAUUGCACACAAGGUGGAUAUGGAUUUAAAAAGUGCCAUAAAACACUUAUUAUGAAUGAUCCUUCCGCAGGUUCACCUACGGAAA